AAUUUAAAUUAUUAAUAGUUUUAUUUAUAUUUAAAAAUUUUAUAAAAAUAAUUUAUUUUUUUUUUGUUUAAGUAUUUAUUAAGAAUUAAUUGUUAAAUUUAUAGUUAAUUAGUAUUGUAAAAGAAUUAUUUAAAUUAAAAAAAGAAUUUUAUAAGUACCUUUUGUAUCAGGGUUAAUUAAAAUUUUUAAUUUAUUUUAAAUUCUCAAAAUUUAUAGAGUUAAUUUUGUUAUUAAUUUAUUGUUAUAAAAAUAUUUAAAAAAUAAUAUUAGUUUUGAAAUGUAAUUCGUUAUAAUAUAUUUAGUUAUUUAAGAUUUAAAUUUAAUUUAAAAUUUUAAAAGUUUUAUUAAUUUAAAUUAUUAGUAUUUUAAAAUUAAAUUAUUUUAGGGAUAAGCUUAAAAUUUUUAUAUAAUUAUUUUUAUUAAUUAAAUAAUUGAUAGGAUUAGAAAUUUUUAAUUUAAGUUUGUAAAAAUUUAUUAUUUUGUUAAAUUAAAAUUUAUUAAAAUUUAAUUUAUUUUUAAUAUUAAAUUUUAUAAAUUAAUUAUUAAUUUAUAGUAAUAAUGAUUAAAUUAGUAUAAUUGAAAUUUAUAAAUUAUGAAUUCGGCAAAAAUUAUUUUCAUCUGUUUAACAAAAACAUUGUAUUAAGUUUAAUUUAAUAUAGGAUCUGCUCAAUGAUUUUAUUAAAUAGCUGCAGUAUUUUGACUGUGCAAAGGUAGCAUAAUAAUUAGUCUUUUAAUUGAGGACUUGAAUGAAAGAUUUGAUGAAAAAUAAACUUUAUUAUUUAUAAAAUUAAAAUUUUAUUUUUAAGUAAAAAAGCUUAAAUUAUUUAAAGGGACGAUAAGACCCUAUAAAACUUUAUAAAUAUAAAUUUUUAAUUUUUUGGUUUAAUAAAUAUUUAAAUAUUUUUAUUUAUUUUAUUGGGGUGAUAAAAAAAAAUAUUUAACUUUUUUUAAAUUUUAACAUUAUUUAAUGAAUUUUUUUGAAUUAAAAUUUUUAGUUAAAGGAAAAAGUUACUUUAGGGAUAACAGCGUAAUUAAUUUUUUAAGUUCAAAUUUAAAAAUUAGUUUGCGACCUCGAUGUUGAAUUAAGAAUAAUUUUAGGUGCAAAAUUUUAAAUAUUUAGGUCUGUUCGACCUUUAAUUUCUUACAUGAUUUGAGUUCAAACCGGUGUAAGCCAGGUUGGUUUCUAUCUUUUAAAUUAUUAAUUAUUUUAGUACGAAAGGAUUUAAUAAUUAAAUUAAAUUUUAUUUUAAUGAAUAACAUUAAUUAUAUA
rnacentral:rRNA from 1 species